CCCCCUGAGAAACCCUGAUGAAACCCUGAUAAUUGAAGUUCGUUCUUCCCCUUUUUGCUACCACCACCAUCAUUAUCAUCAACAUCAUAAACCCCCAAAUCCUUUUCCCUAUUUUCUUUCAAAGCCUUAGAGAUCUCUUUCUGUCUGCAAAAUCCAUAAACUCAAAACCUAAUGGUCGCCGUGGAAGAUUUGGUUCGAUUCGAGUUUGAUAUCUACAGCAAGGUGGAUGAGUCGGAUGGGUUUUGGAUAAAAAUUUAAAGCCAAGAACUAGGGUUCUGUUCUGGUUCGAUUUUUAAGAAGAGGGAAAAGGAGAUGUUAUGAUGGAAUCAUAGAUGGGUUUGUUGUGAUGCCGAGAAAUCAAGAUGAGAAGAUGACAUCGGUGAUGGAGGAGAAGUUUUGAUGCAAACAGAGAAGAAUUACAAAUUUGCUGGUGUUGAUUUUGUGGAUCAGUGGAGGUGAUUGAAGUAUGAAUAAAAGUUCUAAUAGGUUAAGGAGAUUGGGUUUUAUCCGAUUUCAGUAUACAGUCAGGUUUAGAGGGAGGAGCAAGAAUUGGUGGUAUCUGAUGUGAUGCAUAAAGAUUUGGCCUUACUUUUGUUUUUAAUUUUCCCACUUAAUUAUGUAUUGGAUCUUUAAGUGAUUGUUAAUGGUUUUCUUUCUAUUUUUUAUGCAGGAAAGACACUUACACUGUAUUCUCGGAACUUAUGGAUCCAGAAGAGGUGCUUUGAUUUCGCUUUUAUAAAGAUCAUCAUUUAUAUAGGUACUUUUGACACUGUAAUCUUUUUGUUCAAGUCUUUUUCUUUUUUUUUUUGUUAUAAGUUUGAUGCGUUUGUUAGUACUUGUUGCAUCUUUUUUGCAUUGUUCACAUGCGCCAUCCAAAUUCUCGUGCUUUGGAUGUAUACGGAGAGUAUGAGGAGUUGCUGGAAGAAGAACCACAUGUGGAGUUCAAUAGCAAGGUAGAAACUGAAUUUGAAGAUCUUUCAACAGAUGGCAAGAUACAAGGAUGGGAAAGUAAAGGUGGAAACAUUUUAUCUCAGAUUCUAUAAUCGAUCUCGACUACUACAUUACAGUGUAUGAGUUAAUGCAGGUGGAUAAGGACAUAUUAAAAGUGUGUGCGAGAGAAAUUGGUGCACCUAAAGAAAUCUAAGGAUAAACUUUGAUAAGUAAGUGGUCUCGCAUGCUUGAUGUCAGAGACUAGGCAGGAAGUUUAACGAAUAUCUUUGGAAAAGUUCAAGGUUCUUCUCUAUGUUCAUCAUUUUAUUGUAUAUCAUUCUUUUGAUACUACGCACAGAAAUUGUAUGUCAUUGGGACAAGAAAUGUUUCUAGCUAUACGUAAUGAUGUGUUUCUUACUUUUA